UGGUAUUGGCAAAAACUGAACCCGCAUCAAACCAAAUUCACCCCCUCCUCGGUUGGCCGUGAGAGAGGGUUUCAAGGUAGUUAAGGCCCCAGCAUCACCAGCAGCAAUGUGUGCUCUGGAGACCUUGGCAGACAGCUUACUGAUGAUGGCAAUCGGCAGGUAGCGCAGUGCUGCUGUAGAGGGUUCCUUGGAAAACCUAGUCUUGCAAGGAAGAAUAGAAGGCACUGGGGUGGUCUCAAUUCAGAUUUGCCCUCCCUCCUGCAAGUUAUGUGCAACCAGAACAGGUCACCUGGUUAGAUCAUCUGGGUUGUCACGGGGCUGCUUGUUGCUGAAGUAAAUGUGAACACAAUGUGUGAACUGGGUUCUGGUGGUGUAUCAUUGGUGAUCCAGGUUUUGAUUGUUGCGAACCGUGCCCUCAAUGCGCACAAAGCACUGCAAUGAACAAGAAUUUUUAGUGCUACUGAUCCACAAAGCAAAUAAACUACAGUAUGUAGACUUGGACCAGUGUGGCUCUAGAUGCUCUGCCAAAAUGGGCAGCAGAGGGAAAAAAUUAUAAAGAAAACAGCAGUGACCGCAGUAGGAUUCUUAUUCUAUUCAUGCGGAUCUGGACGGGAACUUUCUUUCACAAAAGGAUGCCCACUGGAGAGCUAAACUUCCCAUGUCAAAGAAUAGAGCAAAUGUUUACUAGUUCAACCACCCAUUUUGAUAACUAUUAUCAUAUUACAUGUCAAGUCCCAGCCCGGAACAUGAGUGAUCAUGGGCGUUUGGUCAAUUUGAUGACUGUUGGGUGUGCUGAAGUCCCUUGAAAGCUUUCUUAUUGAUCACUUUCAGAGGUUUCAAGAGGUGUUGGGAUGCUAGAAGGUGGUGGAUGUGUGCAGUUUGUAGUAUUCUGAGUUGAUUGGUCGGUGGGGAACGCUGGUAUUUUUCAUGAUUGAACUUUGCUUACACUGGAUUUGAGACACAAUUGUUUUCUCUCUCUUUGUGGGCAUUUUCUUCUCGUUGUUUUAGCUGCUUUUGUUUCUCUGAUAUUGAGUGACUGAAUGAUUUUGUUAGCUUGAUUGUUUUGUUGU